GCGGGAGCCAUGCGGCGAUCGAGGAGCUCUGCGGCCGCCAAGCUGCGCGGGCAGAAGCGGUCCGGGGCCUCCGCGGCCCCCGCGGCCCCCGCGGCCGCUGCCUCGGCACCCAGCGCCACCCGCACACGGCGCUCCGCGAGCCAGGCCGGGAGCAAGAGCCAGGCGGCGGAGAAGCCGCCGUCGGAGAAGCCGCGGCUGAGGCGCUCGUCGCCGCGGGCCCAGGAGGAGGGCCCGGGGGAGCCGCCGCCGCCGGAGCUGGCGUUGCUCCCGCCGCCGCCGCCGCCGCCGACUCCCGCGACCCCGACGUCCUCGGCGUCCAACCUGGACCUGGGCGAGCAGCGGGAGCGCUGGGAGACGUUCCAGAAGCGGCAGAAGCUCACCUCCGAGGGUGCCGCCAAGCUCCUGCUAGACACCUUUGAAUACCAGGGCCUGGUGAAGCACACAGGAGGCUGCCACUGUGGAGCGAUUCGUUUUGAAGUUUGGGCCUCAGCAGACUUGCAUAUAUUCGACUGCAAGUGAGUGUUUGCUUUUUCCUAAAUUAGCUUAAAAGAAUUUCAGAGUUAAAAUGCAAUAUUCCAAAAUAAUCUGGGGAGUUGGGGUACAGAGGAAACAUUGGCCUUGGGCUGGUAACUGUUGAAGUCAGGUGAUGGGGACAGAAAGGUUCAUUGUUCUAUUUUUGUUCCUUUUGUAUGGCUCAUCACAGAGCUUCAACAGCAUGGCCCAGGUGACACA
rnacentral:sRNA from 1 species